CAGAAAACAACGUGAAAGCUGGUAGGAGUAGCUUUAAAAAAAAAAAUCAAGUACAGUAUGAAUACUGUCGUCUAUGAAGUUUUUUUUUAAUUCAACAAGGAGGGAUCAGCCAAUGAAGUUGGAAGUCCGACCCAGUUGACUACAUUAAGAUGGUGGAAGCUCUCAAUGGUGCUUCCCAUGCUAACGCAGACUUUUGGCCACUAGAGGCCUCUAUCAUUCUCUAUGGUUCGAGCAGCUCAGUGUGUUGCAUUAUGGAGACAAAAAUUGUCAGACUUGCGCCUACAUGUGGACUGCAUGAACUUUACAAAAACCAUGUGAUCAAAGGGCAUGCCGUUAAUGGGCUUGUUUAACAUUGCAGGCGAAUGCCGACUGACUGAUCUACAAAGAACCUUGUUUAAUAAAUAACUACUCAUGAUACAUUACAGUUUUGAUCCUCUGUAACAGUCUUUGAUGAAGUUGUCUUCAAGUCGCUGCAGUUGCGUCAUACCAACUGCACCAUGCAGCCAUCACCUGCAUUGAGGCACUAUUUGUCAGCCCUAACUUUAACACAAUUCUAAAGCUACAGGAGAUACAAAUUAAAGUGAUAUUUAAGAUCUCUAACCAAUUAUUUGCAAAUAAGUUCAAUCAAAUACAUUUUUAUUCCUCACAUGCUUUGUAAAUGGCAGGUAGCCUAGUGGUUAUAGCGUUGGGCCAAUAACCGAAAGGUUGCUAGAUCAAUCCCCAAGCUGUCAAGGUAAAAAUCUGUCUUUCUUCCCCUGAAAAAGGCAGUUAACUCACUGUUCCUAGGCUGUCAUUGUAAAUAAGAAUUUACUUGCCUAGUUAAAUAAACAACAGGUGUAGACUAAAACUGAAACGCUUACUUACGGGCCAUUCCCAACAAUGUAGAAAGAAAAUGGAUAAAUAAUAGAAAUGCAAUAGUAAAUACACAAUGAGUAACAAUAACUUGACUAUAUACAUGAGGUAUCAAGUCGAUGUGAAGGGAACGAGGUAAUUGAGGUAGAUAUGUACAUAUAACUAGGAAUGAAGUGACUAGUCAACAGGACAGAUAAACAGUAGCAGCAGUGUGUUAUGUGGGCUUGUAAAAUUUUCAUUAAAACAUUUAGAAAGACUCUUCCCCAAAUGUUUAUUGAAAACAAAUACAUUUUCACAAAUACAUCGUUACAGUUAGUUAGCUAGCACAUUUUUGCCAUAUUAGCAUUGACAUGAAACCAGUCAAAACACCUCAAAACAAGGCAUGGUAUCAAGAACAAGAUAAAACUAGCUGAAAUGAGCCAACUGCGAUUCCCUGCAUGUCAUUGUUGCUAGCUACAGCAUCUGACUAUUCAGAAUUAUAACUAAGAAUGGCUUCCGGGACCAAUGCACGCGCAUAAUUUGUGACGUUGUCA
ensembl:lncRNA